GGAACAAGUCACACCCAAACCAUCUGCUUUCGUAAUAUUAGGGGCCACUGGGCUCCUAGCAGAGGGGAGUGCAACAACAAACCUGGGCAAGACUCCUUGAUGAAUAAAACCACACCUUGCUCAAUGUGGGACUGAUCCCAAGACCCUACAAAAUGACCUCCAUGGGUGAAGCCAGGAUUGUGAAUCAGAUUAGCUCUCAGGAGAGCCACGCCUCAUAUUCAAUGGGGAUGAGGAACAGUGCCGGCUCUCAAUAAUGCAGCCAGAAGGCAGAAGAACAGUCCCUGGAGAAAUGAAGCAGAUUGCAAAGACUGC